CAGUCGAGGGGUAACAGGAGAUUGCUUGCAAUCUUGCUGACGACCGGCGCACGGGUGCGUAACGCGUAUAGAACCUACCUUAUAUUGGGGGAUAGCCCAGAGAAAUUUGGAUUAAUACCCCAUAGUAUGCUGAAUUGGCAUCAGUUUAGUAUUAAAGAUUUAUCGAUAUAAGAUGGCUAUGCGUUCUAUUAGCUAGUUGGUAAGGUAACGGCUCACCAAGGCGACGAUAGAUAGGGGUCCUGAGAGGGAGAUCCCCCACACUGGUACUGAGACACGGACCAGACUCCUACGGGAGGCAGCAGUGAGGAAUAUUGGACAAUGGAGGCAACUCUGAUCCAGCCAUGCCGCGUGCAGGAAGACUGCCCUAUGGGUUGUAAACUGCUUUUAUAGAGGAAGAAACCGCUCUACGUGUAGAGCUCUGACGGUACUCUACGAAUAAGGAUCGGCUAACUCCGUGCCAGCAGCCGCGGUAAUACGGAGGAUCCAAGCGUUAUCCGGAAUCAUUGGGUUUAAAGGGUCCGUAGGCGGGCUUAUAAGUCAGUGGUGAAAGUUUGCGGCUCAACCGUAAAAUUGCCAUUGAUACUGUAGGUCUUGAAUCAUUGUGAAGUGGUUAGAAUGUGUAGUGUAGCGGUGAAAUGCAUAGAUAUUACACAGAAUACCGAUUGCGAAGGCAGAUCACUAACAAUUGAUUGACGCUCAGGGACGAAAGCGUGGGUAGCGAACAGGAUUAGAUACCCUGGUAGUCCACGCCGUAAACGAUGGUUACUAGCUGUUUGGACUUCGGUCUGAGUGGCUAAGCGAAAGUGAUAAGUAACCCACCUGGGGAGUACGUUCGCAAGAAUGAAACUCAAAGGAAUUGACGGGGCCCGCACAAGCGGUGGAGCAUGUGGUUUAAUUCGAUGAUACGCGAGGAACCUU
rnacentral:rRNA from 1 species